rnacentral:rRNA from 1 species
CUACGUGCCAGCAGCCGCGGUAAUACGUAGGGCGCGAGCGUUGUCCGGAAUUAUUGGGCGUAAAGAGCUUGUAGGCGGUUUGUCGCGUCUGCUGUGAAAGGCCGGGGCUUAACCCCGUGUAUUGCAGUGGGUACGGGCAGACUAGAGUGCAGUAGGGGAGACUGGAACUCCUGGUGUAGCGGUGGAAUGCGCAGAUAUCAGGAAGAACACCGAUGGCGAAGGCAGGUCUCUGGGCUGUAACUGACGCUGAGAAGCGAAAGCAUGGGGAGCGAACAGGAUUAGAUACCCUGGUAGUCCAUGCCGUAAACGUUGGGCACUAGGUGUGGGGGACAUUCCACGUUUUCCGCGCCGUAGCUAACGCAUUAAGUGCCCCGCCUGGGGAGUACGGCCGCAAGGCUAAAACUCAAAGAAAUUGACGGGGGCCCGCACAAGCGGCGGAGCAUGCGGAUUAAUUCGAUGCAACGCGAAGAACCUUACCAAGGCU